AGAGUUUGAUCCUGGCUCAGAAUCAACGCUGGCGGCGCGCUUAACACAUGCAAGUCGCACGAGAAAGGGAGCAAUCCCAAGUAAAGUGGCGCACGGGUGAGUAACACGUGGAUCAUCUACCUUUUAGUGGGGAAUACCCCCGGGAAACUGGGGACAAUACCGCAUAAGCUCGUAAGAGGAAAGCAGCAAUGCGCUGAAAGAGGAGUCCGCGGCUGAUUAGCUAGAUGGCGGGGUAACGGCCCACCAUGGCGAAGAUCGGUAGCCGGCCUGAGAGGGCACACGGCCACACUGGCACUGAAACACGGGCCAGACUCCUACGGGAGGCAGCAGUGGGGAAUCUUGCACAAUGGAGGAAACUCUGAUGCAGCGACGCCGCGUGAGCGAUGAAGCCCUUCGGGGUGUAAAGCUCUUUCGACGGGAACGAUAAUGACGGUACCCGAAGAAGAAGCUGCGGCUAACUACGUGCCAGCAGCCGCGGUAAUACGUAGGCAGCAAGCGUUGUUCGGAAUUACUGGGCGUAAAGAGUGUGUAGGUGGUGCUUUAAGUUUGGUGUGAAAUCUCCCGGCUUAACUGGGAGGGUGCGCCGAAAACUGGAGUGCUUGAGUAUGGGAGAGGUAAGCGGAAUUCCUGGUGUAGCGGUGAAAUGCGUAGAUAUCAGGAGGAACACCUGGUGUAGACAGCUUACUGGACCAUCACUGACACUGAGACACGAAAGCGUGGGUAGCAAACAGGAUUAGAUACCCUAGUAGUCC
rnacentral:rRNA from 1 species